rnacentral:lncRNA from 1 species
GAGCACAUGGCGCGCCUUUCGUCCAUGAACAAGGCCUACAAGUCCUUCAUCGGGAUGGGGUACUACAACACCCAUAUCCCGGCGGUCAUCCUGCGCAACCUCAUGGAGAACCCCGCGUGGUACACCCAGUACACGCCCUACCAGGCGGAGAUCGCGCAGGGCCGUCUCGAGUCGCUGCUCAAUUACCAGACCAUGGUCGCCGACCUCACCGGCCUGCCCAUGUCCAACGCCUCUCUGCUUGACGAGGCCACCGCCGCCGCCGAGGCCAUGGCCAUGUGCAAUGGAAUCCUAAAGUCCAAGAAGAAGACCUUCCUCAUCGCGUCCAACUGCCACCCGCAGACCAUCGACAUCUGCCAGACGCGCGCCGCCGGGUUCGACCUCAACGUCGUAGUCUCGGCCGCCAAGGACUUCGACUACAGCAGCGGCGACGUAUGCGGCGUGCUUGUGCAGUACCCAGGCACGGAAGGGGAGGUGCUGGAUUAUGCGGAGUUCGUCAAGGACGCGCACGCGCACGGCGUCAAGGUGGUGAUGGCUACCGACCUGCUCGCGCUCACCACGCUGCGCCCCCCUGGCGAAAUUGGGGCCGAUAUCGCCGUGGGCUCCGCGCAACGCUUCGGCGUGCCGAUGGGGUACGGCGGCCCACACGCUGCAUUCCUCGCCACUUCUCAGGAGUACAAGCGUCUGAUGCCAGGCCGCAUCAUCGGGGUGAGCGUCGACUCCAGCGGCAAGCCCGCGCUCCGCAUGGCGAUGCAGACCAGGGAGCAGCACAUCCGGCGCGACAAGGCCACCAGCAACAUCUGCACCGCUCAGGUACGCACGCACUCCACCCACUCACCAAAUUGCCUAACAGUGACAUCCACAGUAAUAUUGCCUUUUUUAUUCAGCAAAAGGUAUAUUUUUCGACGAAAUAUUUUUUUAUUUAGCAAAAGGUAUAUUGCCACAAGUAGUGAUGAAGAUACUUUGUGAUCAACUUUAUAGGCCUUGCUCGCCAACAUGGCGGCGAUGUAUGCCGUGUACCAUGGUCCUGCGGGGCUGAAAGCUAUUGCUGACCGUGUCCAUGGCCUGGCUGGUACUUUCGCCCACGGGUUGAAGAAACUUGGAACAGUGACAGUGCAGGAGCUACCAUACUUUGACACUGUCAAGGUCACUUGCGCUGAUGCGAAUGCCAUUGCUGAGGAGGCUCGCAAAAACGAGAUGAACCUUCGCGUAGUUGACGCAAACACGGUUCGUUUUCCUUGAUGUUGUCUGUUUGAGUACAACAAGGUAGUCGACCUCUGAGUUUUGAGCAUUAACUUCAAGUUGUGAUGUUAUAGAUUACUGUUGCCUUCGAUGAGACCACCACCUUGGAGGAUGUUGACAAGCUGUUCAAGGUGUUCUCUGGUGGCAAGCCAGUAAGUGGUCAUUCCAUCAGUGCAAAAUAUGUGUUUCUGAUGUGAAAUUAUAACACAUGCUAAAUGAUUUUCCACCACAAACACUUUCAGGUGGACUUCACAGCUGAAUCCAUUGCACCUGAGGUCUCAAGCUCAAUUCCUAGUAGCCUUGUGCGCAACAGCCCCUACCUAACUCACCCAAUCUUUAGCAUGUACGUGUGGUGCCAAACUUUGCAUCUUUGCUUCAUUAAUUUUAUUUUAUUUUCCAAACGAGGGCACUGCACAUAGAGCACGAGCUUCACUACUUUGGUAGUGUGUAUGAAAUAAAUUCAAAUUAUCUUGUCUGGCCUUGCAGGUACCACACAGAGCAUGAGCUUCUUCGGUACCUGCACAAGUUGCAAUCCAAGGAUCUCUCACUGUGCCACAGUAUGAUCCCUCUUGGUUCUUGCACCAUGAAACUAAACGCUACUGUUGAGAUGAUGCCUGUCACUGAUCCCAACUUCGCAAACAUGCACCCAUUUGCCCCUAUUGACCAGGCUGCAGGCUAUCAUGUAAGGAUCAUUCACUAUUUGUUUGGUUUCUAAUGGCAAACUAUCCUAAUAAGACUAUCUAGAAGUUCUGAAAUGACUUGUUUUGUGGUGCAGGAAAUGUUUGAUAACUUGGGCGAGCUGUUGAACACGAUCACCGGUUUCGAUUCUUUCUCUUUGCAACCAAAUGCUGGUGCUUCAGGAGAGUAUGCUGGGCUGAUGGUUAUUCGUGCUUACCACAGGGUAUGUUAUGAUAAAUAUAUUGCGCUAGUCCUCUUGCUGCUCAUCCAGCCGUUACAGAGUCUUUUUCCUUAGUUCAUUCGUUGCUCACAAACCAUGUAAAAAAUGCAGUCAAGAGGAGACCACCACCGAAAUGUCUGCAUCAUUCCUGUCUCGGCGCAUGGUACAAAUCCUGCAAGUGCUGCUAUGUGUGGAAUGAAAAUUGUUGCUGUUGGAACUGAUUCCAAAGGUAACAUUAACAUUGAGGAGUUGAGGAAAGCUGCUGAAGCAAAUAAGGACAACUUGUCUGCUCUGAUGGUACUUCUUCUAUGCUCUGUUAAUAUGAGAAGUUAUCAUGGCUUUUGAACAAACUUUUACUCUUUCAGGUUAAAUUUUAUUGCUAAAUUUUGAUCUGGAGUUCUGAUGCUAUACUAUCACUGCAUGGCCUUAUCGUUAUAUUAAGUGUGAUAGGGCAAAUUAAGAGUUUUAUGUUAUUGCAGCUUGUAAUACAUUACUAUAUAAUUAAAACGAGGUGAAAGGAACCACCACUUUGCUCUCAGGGCUAGCAAUUCCCACAUUAAUGAGAAGAAAAAGAGGAAAAUAUAUACCUCCUCUUUCUGGUGGUUCCAGAUUUUUCUAUGGUGCGGAAUAAUUAAUUAGAUGGAAGUAUAUUAUAGUAUCUACCUGUGCAUGGAAACUCGAGUAGUAUAUGUUAAGAUAGAAAUCAGACAGCUGCUUCAUAGCACUUCCCUCUAAUGGUUCCUGGUCAUAUAUUUGAAUCAAUCAACAAUUCAACAUAUAAUGGAAGCAUAUGUCCAGAUACUUUAUUUUUUGUACUGAAACUUAUAAAGCUAGAGACGUAAUUGGAGACGUGAAACGCAUGUGUCAACUAUAUAUGCAUAGAAACUAAGAAAUUGCAGCCUGAAAAGGUAUAAACAUUUUAGUCAUACUUAGGAUCAUGAAAACUUAGAUAAACAUGCACGAAACAUUCAGUCAAAACAUGUAUAUCAUAGUAUGAUCUGCGGGUGUUUUGAGAGGAAAGCACAAGGCAAGGAUUAGGGCCACUAAUUAAUUAGUCAUUAUUAGGGAGUAACUGUAUGUCAAGGUUCCAACUGAAAUUCUCAGCCUGUGGAUCUGAUUUUCUUGGAUUGACAAGAUUGAUUGGGUCACAUCCAACUCGUACUCCUUAUAUAGGUAUGGAGAUAUGGUGCACGAAUAGAGUAACUGAUUUCGAAUCAUGGAAAAUGUUGAGUUCACUGAGGAUGAUUGUUUAUUACUUAUUUAGAGAAACAUUUGUGUUAUAUUUGCUUUGUGUCAAGAAUAACAUUAUGGCACGACUAUGUUAUUGUUCAGGUUACCUAUCCUUCAACCCAUGGAGUCUAUGAAGAAGGCAUUGAUGAGAUAUGCAGGAUCAUUCAUGAGAACGGCGGGCAGGUCUAUAUGGAUGGAGCUAACAUGAAUGCUCAGGUUAGUUCUUUGCACUUUGUUGUACCACCUUGUCUAUUUGUUCUUUCUGCAAUUGCUCCCUUAAAGUGCCUAAUACGAAUGGAUUGGAACACUUCAUGCUGGUCCUCAGACUGUAUAGAUAUCUUUCCAACAUAUGAUGAAGUUUAAUCCAAAACAAAUUGUGAACUACAAAUCCUUCUACUCCCUCCCAUCUGAUUUAAUUGUCACGGGUUUAGGCAAAACUUUGCCUAAACCUGCAACAAUUAAAUUGGAUCGCAGGGAGUAUUAAAUUUGUUUUACCUAAUUUUUUAUUUGUUUGUUAUCUUUUUAAAAAAUGGUGAUGACUAUGCAUGCCAAGCUAUGUUUUAUGUACUCCUUCUGAUCCAUAAUAAGUGUCAGGAAUUUAGUACAAAGUUACUUUGUACUAAAUCCCCGGCACUUAUUAUGGAUCAGAGGGAGUAAGAAAAUAUUAACUUUGUACUAAAUCCCCGGCACUUAUUAUGGAUCGGAGGGAGUAAGAAAAUAUCUAAUCAAGUUCGCCUGAACCUAGUUGAGUAAUUGCGAUUUGGAAAUUUCAGAUCCCAUAUUAGUUAUGAUACUGAGAAAAAUAAUAUAGUUUUUUUCUUGAAUCCGUAUGUGUCAUUUUCAUUACUAGACAAAAAUCGCAAAGAUGGCGAGAGGUCUUACAAGCGAACAAAAAACAAAUAAUCCACUGUAACAUACAAACGUUGUCUUAUUACAGGUUGGGUUGACAAGCCCUGGUUUUAUUGGAGCAGAUGUUUGCCAUUUAAACCUUCACAAGACAUUUUGUAUUCCUCAUGGUGGAGGUGGUCCUGGCAUGGGUCCUAUUGGUGUUAAGAAGCACUUGGCACCAUUUUUACCAUCUCAUCCAGUGGUAGGUGUCCUGACUUAUUUUAUCAGUCCAAUCAAAUCACAUUAUUCAGAUUUGUAUCCUAACAAUAUAGUAAAACCCAUUGUUCAAUACUUAACUUGAAGAGAUUGAUAUUCGAAAGUUUGUUGUCUCUUCCUUUCCUGUCCCUUUGCGACCUUUAAAUAUUAAGUAAGUGUGUGAUGAUGAUUGGUUAUGAGCUAACUACUCAGGCUAUGCUUUAGAUGCUGAUUACUAUAACCAAAAGUGUCAAUCAUUUCUUUGCUUGGCUUAUGCUGUUUAAUUCACAAGCGAAUGCAAAGCCAAUAUCAGACUAAUUCUGUAAUCAAUAGAUACCUACUGGUGGCUUUCCUCUGCCCGAGAAAACCGACCCUCUUGGUUCCAUUUCUGCUGCUCCAUGGGGAUCUGCUUUGAUUCUUCCAAUUUCCUACACAUACAUAGCCAUGAUGGGCUCUCAAGGACUCACUGAAGCUUCAAAGAUUGCGAUCUUGAAUGCAAACUACAUGGCAAAGCGUCUGGAGGUACUUGAUGUUGCACAUGCCAACAAACCCUCUGCUACAAUUUUUGGUUAUGGUUGAACUACUUUCUAAAUCCUACAUUAUAAUGAAUUUUGCAGAAGCACUACCCGGUUCUUUUCCGUGGAGUCAAUGGAACUGUUGCCCAUGAAUUCAUUAUUGACUUAAGAGGGUUUAAGGUACUUAUCCGAACCAUGUUAGCACUUGAACCAUGCAUAGUUGUAGGCCAUUUCAAUUCUCUAACUGGAUCUUGGAAAUCUUGACAGGCAACUGCUGGUAUAGAGCCUGAGGAUGUGGCAAAGCGCUUGAUGGACUAUGGAUUCCACGGACCAACCAUGUCAUGGCCUGUUCCAGGCACACUUAUGAUUGAACCCACUGAAAGCGAAAGCAAGGUAAAUAUGUCUAUAUCUGUUGAUUGCCAUUGCAACAACAAUUGGUUUUUACAUUAGCUUACUGCUACACAACAUGCAGGCUGAACUAGACAGGUUCUGUGAUGCCCUUAUCUCAAUCAGGGAAGAAAUUGCAGAGGUAGAAAAUGGCAAAGCAGAUGCGCACAACAAUGUCCUGAAGGUAAUGUACUCCAAAUAGUCACAGUAAAUUACUAAAACCUUUACAUAUCCACCCACAGUCUACAAGUUGAAUAGAUCUUGCUAAAUCCUAAACCUUCUUUUUAAAUGCCGUCUGCAACUUACGAGAUGGUAGCGCAUGAACAGUGGAGUUGAGGUGCUUGCCUGUUUUUUUACGCAGGGCGCUCCUCACCCACCCCAACUCCUGAUGAGCGAUGCAUGGACUAAGCCGUACUCUAGGGAGUACGCCGCGUUCCCUGCGGCUUGGCUUCGGGGCGCCAAGUUCUGGCCAACAACAUGUACUGAUAGCUCAAAAAUCCUUCUCGUUACUUUUUUUUUUGGCAUAUAAGCUAAGUACCUGCGUUCUGCUCUUGGCAGGUCGUGUGGACAACGUGUACGGGGACCGCAACCUUAUCUGCACUCUGCAGCAGGCGUCCCAAGUGACAGAAGAAGCUGCAGCUGCAGCUGCUACCGCGUAAUCUUUCAGAUGAUGACGAUCCAGGGUUGUGAAACAGUGUCAAGAAGUUAUAAUGCUUCCUGUAGGAUGGAGGCGUGCUUGCUUCUCAAAUCUCUCAUGUACUGUAUAUAUUUUCCUCAGAUGCCACCAUCUCAUGUAUCUCUGUACUCCAUUGCCUCCCCCCAUUCCCAUUUAAAGUGAAAUUAGCUGUAUUGGCUAGCAUUUAUACUCCUCUCUCAAUACAAGAAAAAUAAUUGAGAUCUGUUUAUGCUCCUAGCCGUACAUAUAUAAGGAAGGAAAAUUAAUUAUUUUGACGAUGUAUCUGGUGCAAACCUUUAUUCCGUGUAAGUUUGCAACCUAUCUGGAUGGACCAUCGGAUCUGAUGAGAAUCGCACAAUCUAUACAACCGUAGACCGUAGACAACUCUUGAGAACCUCGUAUUUAACGCUAGUUCUUCGAUUUGGAAGGCUAAGUUCAGAAAGCCAGGAAUAAAAGUAAUAAGGGAAAAAAGCAAGGAAAACGAAUCCAUCACCUAACCGAUCCACUGAUCGGAUCGGCUAGGUGUGUUCGGACAGUUCGCCCUACGCUCUCCCGUCUUCCUCCGUUCAAUACUCUCUCACUUGUUUAUUCAAUUGCGCCUUGCCUUUUGUUCUCACCACUCUUCAUCUUGUCCUCAUCCAGCUCUUUACUUGAGACUUUCUUCCACCGUCAUAUGUUCUAACUACAUUUUACUCAUUACAUAAUUUAAAAGACAUGCAAAAUUAAUUCAUAUAUAUAUAUAUAUACUCCUUCCGAUAUAUAAUAAGUGUAUUGAAGGAGCAAAUAAAGGAGCGUACUCCCAAUUAAAUUUAUGCAACUAAAGCUACCAAGGUUCAAACAGCAUGGCACAAAAAAAGGAGCAGAAGUUCAAAAACAAGACUGAACAUCAAAGCUCAAGCCUCAACAGCACUCAGUUAUCAAGCGAAACUACUUAAGGUAUGAACAGACAGAAGUUCAUCCAACUCCAAUCCUCUUGGUCACUGGCUGCCAUCGAAAACGAGCACGAAAUUCCUCGUGAAAAAAAAACAAGCAUGAAAUUCCUCAGUCGCCGCUUCAAAAAAUAACACGUCGCGUAGCAUAUAAUUUUUUUCAGAGAAGAGAAAAACCCCAAUUGGAUUAAGUGUGAUUUUUGACAAACACAAAAUAUGACAAAAGUUACACAAUUCAAACUGCAUUCUCAUCGGCCUCACCAAGCAACUAACGAACAAAAAGCGGCAGCGAAGACUCGCGCGCGCGGUGCCUGACGUGCGCCUACCAUUUGUGCCCAUCCAGUACAGCCCAGCCGAGGGCUCCAGGCCUCCAGGUCCAGGUGCACGCACCUCCCCUGUCCCCUGUUCUCUCCCUCUCUCUCCACUUUCCUCUUUAACUGCGCCUCCCCAGCUUGUGCUACUCCCCCAAGCGAAGCGAGGCACUCACUUCCUCAAUCCUCAUUCACGCUUGGCCCGUACGGCAAGAGGCGACGCGGCGCCCAAUCUAGUUAACCCCCCGCGGCCACCGGAUCGGGGAGGACCCUGCCUUCCCCUGGCGAUUCUCCUGUGAGCUCCCUUCUCAAUCUAUUGUCUCUUCUUUUGUUCGAUUGAUUCGUAGUGUGCUUGUAUUUUAGGGCCAUUUUAGGAGCUAUGAUGCCUUUUCCCCCUUUGCCAACUGAAACGGGAAACCGCUACUAGAUUUUGAAACAACAGUUACUGUCUUGUGAUUCACCCUGCUUCAGCAUCCUGUGAAAUGAAAUGUGUGCUUUAGAACAUGCCAAGGAAGAUUUUCUACAGUUGGAUUGGACGUCGGUCUGAUAUUUAGCAUCACUGCAUCAGAUGUAGUUGUAGAAAUCGCUUUACUAGUUCAUACAGCUAGGCGCAAAAUCGGUAGUAAGCUCAUCGCUACGGCUCGAGCAACUCCCUACAAUCUGUGCAUUUCAUCAAUCGAUGGCAGCCAGUGGAUUUGGGAUGGAGAGAGGAUGCGUGGCUUCUGGACACUAAAUGUACUCUUGUUUCAACCAUUUCUACCAGUUCCUUGGUAUUCCUUGCCAACCUGAUCUUAUGUUGUUCAAACGCCUCAUCCCCCUAUAUUGCCAUAUGGAUUUACAAUGAUGCUCAAGUGCUUUAUGUGUUUCAUCAUAACUGUCCUCAGCUCACCAUGCGCAUAGACCAAGUAAGAACUAAUCUAAUAAAAGUUACGUAGAAAGGACUUUGCCCUUGUCAAAUGGCAUCCUUCAUCGAGGUGGAACCAUUGCAGUAUUGGUUUCCUCAACGAACAGUUCUUGUAAGCGACAACAGCUACAGGGAAACGGGGGAAGUAGUGAACUGGAACUAAUUAUAAUUCUUCAUCCUUUUUUCCCCAAAGCAGGGGGCCUAAUUUUAUUGCCUCUUUCUUUUCAGCCAAGGUCAACAGUCAAGAGAUGGAAAUUAGCCACAUUUGAUUUUGCAUAAGUUCAGGGAGCACUAGGUGUUAACGGAAGUAUUUUCCUCGAUGGAGGUUGAAGCAGAUUUUGAUGUUGAAGAUUCCAGAUCAAACAAUGAACUGCAGGAGUUGUGUCCAGUUGGCGAGAUAGAUCCUAGGAGAGGAAGAUUCCCUUAUUGCAUUGUCUGGACUCCUCUUCCUGUAGUUUCAUGGCUUGCUCCUUAUAUAGGGCAUGUUGGAAUCUGCCAGGAGGAUGGAUCUGUCCUGGAUUUUGCUGGUUCAAAUUUAGUGAGCAUGGAUAAUUUCGCGUAUGGUUCGGUUGCCAGAUACCUUCAACUUGACAGAAAUAAGGUAUAUGAGAUUUCAAAUUUUUUAUUUUCCUCUAAGGAAAAAAAAUAUUAUUAACUCAAAUUUCGUUGGCCUCUUAUGCUUUAUUAAUCUUUAUUGAACUGCUUCUAAGAUUUCUCAUAUUUACUUUCUUAGUGGAAAAUGUCUACUAGCCUCCUGUGGGACAUGCUUCCCUGUUGACAUAUUUACUUGCAAUAUUUAUUUUCACAUGUAGUUCCUGUAAGGUGCAAGAUACAAGCCCUCUUCCUUCAUGAAAGAAUGUUUCGUGAUUUAUCAUUCUUUAAACAGUAAAAAAUUACAAUUUAAUACCUAGACUUAGUAUCAUUUAAACAGUGAAACAUUUGGGCUGGGGACACUGAACCUGAGACUCCAGCAAGCUAUCACAGACAGAGCAUGGCUGGAGUGAUUUUUUUCGAGAACUUAUGGUUGUAAGCAUUGAGAAUCUUAUCAUCAUUUCCAGGUUCUUUUAGUAACAGUGUUAUUUAUACAGAGUUAGUGCAACAUCACGCAGAUUAUCUUCCUGCUGAUUCGCAGAUUCCCUUUUUGGCAGAUUCCCUUAAGUUGCAAAUAUUGUUCAAUAAUCUUGUUAAGUAUCAAUCCUUAUUUUUGCAAAACCUACUUGUGUUGUCAUUUUUAUUUCUGUGCUUUCCUUUCGAAUAGACAAUUUCUCGUUGACGUACUCUUGUUUUGUUCAUCACCAGUGCUGCUUUCCUGCUAAUCUCAUGGCACAUGUAUGCAAGUGGUCCUACAAGCACGCAGAAGUUGGAACAGCAACUUCAUGGGAUGCUGCCCUACAACUGGGGACGAGAAAUUUCCAGCACAAGUACUACAAUCUGUUCACCUGCAAUUGCUACUCAUUUGUGGCAAACUGCCUGAACCGGCUUGCCUACAGCGGAUACGUGGAGUGGAAUGUUUUGAACGUGGCCGCUCUUGUUUGGCUGCACGGCGAAUGGGUGGACAACAUGUCUAUCGUUCGAUCAUUCUCUCCGUUCCUAAUUGUGACAUGCAUCGGUGUUUUUAUGGCUGGCUGGUCUUUCUUAAUCGGGACAGUAGCAUUCUCUUCUCUUCUGAUUGGGUGGUUUGUCUUUGCUGUAUACUGCUCAAAAGGUUUGGUGCGCUGAUUAAUUUAUAACAUUACGGCUGAACCCUGUGAGUUGUUGAAGUAAUCUGUUCGUGGCCAUUUUCAUUCUCAUGAUUAUUCAGUUGAAUUGAAACUCAUUGAAAGAAUUCACCUGCUACAUCUGGAUUAUAGGGCCCAAACCAAAGGUGAGGCCACAUCACCAUUGUCAACUCCUAUCUGUCGAUGGUGCGAAUGAUCUAUUGGUUGAGAAUGAUUCUCUGGUUUAGCACCCGGUUGUGCGCAUAGAACGUGUUGCUCUAGAUGCGCACGCUGUUGGACUUAGGCAUGGUGAGGUGAUGAGACUAGAUCAGGUUUUGUCUCGUAAUUUACGCUGGGUCCAAUAGUCCGUUUUUCUUUUUUCUCUCUCUAUUCUUCCCAACCUGUGCAGAGACAAUAUAUUUUUCUCCCGCCGUUACGAAUGUAAAGCGUAUUUUGGCUGUCAAGUAAGAAGUAUAAAUUUUUCACCUAAUCAACUAUGCAAAUCUCAGUACAAAAAUAUAUUUAUUUAAGCUAUUUGCUUUCUGGAGAAGACAAUAUACAUCGGAUCUGUUUGUCCUGGAUUUGGGGAUAUAUCAACAGCCUGUGAAGACAGAAAAGAUAAUGUUCGUGUUAUGGGGCUUAUCUGAAAAAUCAAAGAACUAUAUACCAUGCUUUAACUAUCAAUGAAUAUGCAAAUUUUGGGAUGAUGUUCAAACUUCAAUCCUUGGUAUAAACAAGAUGGCAGGCUUUAUUUAUUAUUCCAUUAUUAUUUGACUCUGGAUACAAGAAUAGACAAAUGGCAUACCUUGGGGGGCUCAAAACCUCCAGCGUAAUGGAAAUAAGCACCAACUAUCCAAGCAUGAUCAGCAUCGCCAGUUGAUGUCCAAAUAGAUAUAGCUUUGGUCCAAAAGCAGCGAUUCGAAAAACUAUAUCCAGAGUUAAAACUAAGUGCUUAGAGCCAAUUAUCAUCAAACAAAACUGGUAUCCAAAAACUAGUUCUGGUUAAAUGACAUACACCAUGGUAGUAAUGCUAGUUCCUACCUCAUGAUAGCUAACCCAGAUGGUUUAAGUACCCGUCGCAUCUCCUUGAAAAUAUCCAUUGGUUUUGUCAAGUAGUCUACACUAACCUGAAAGCAAAAAACAAGUUGUUAUCAAACUGUCCAUGCAGUUAGAUACAUAACCAAAAGAUACUUACUUAAAUAGGACCGGAUUCAUAAUAAGAUGACUGUACCACGUUGGUUAUAACAUCAAAAGUGUUGUCAUCAAAAGGAAGCUUUGGAUUCAGAUUGAGGUCUUGCACAACAUAUUCUGUCAAAACCUAUUAUCACAACAGAACAACCAAGAUUUAUUGUAAGAACAUAGGAUUUGUAAGAAUAAGAACUGGUGCAUGUUGCAAGACAUGUUAAUACUAGUACAAAGUCAUUUAUUGUAAGAAGUAUUUAGAAUUCUUUGCCCUGACCACAUUGUAGAGCAACCAAUGAAACUCAAUGUUACUGAAUUAUUUAACAACAAUAACAGCUGUCAAGGCUUUGAAGGAAAUGAAGAUAGUAGAUAGUAUCCAAUCGUUCGCUAUUUAUCCAGUUAGAGACAAAGACAGUUGAAGGUGCAUAGCUCUUAUUUUCCUCCUAUAUAUAAACAGCACGGAAGGUUUCAUUUUCUGAAGAAUUGUUUGUUUUGUAGCAAUACAGAUAGUGAAUACUACCGCAAACAGUCUCAGGUGAAUCAAAAUACAGCAUAACUCACCAAACGAGUCAAUUAUUGCUCAAUCCGUAAUGCUGGAUUGCUGCUAUCAGCUUAUCACUGAAAAAAUUUAGCAGAUCGGAUGUAAAAAAUAACACUAAUUUAGUAGGCAUGCAGUAGCAUAUCCUUUUUCAGCUCAUCUUCAUUGAUGUCCAAAUGAAUUAAGUGUGGUUCAUUUCAUAAUGGUUGCAACCAAAUGUACAUACAAAACGACAGUGAUUUAGUUAGCGUGAGGUACCGUAUUCUUUUUCAGCUCGUCUUCAUUCAUACCCAUCCCUACAACCUUCUCUUGCUUGUACCCGGGUGGAUAAUGGCUCACCUACAUAAGGUGGAGACCGUAAGGAACUUCGGAAGAAGACAUCAAGAAGAGAGUGGUAUCUUGUGAAAACAAAACCCCUACCCAGCUACUGCACAUGUCCAGGAUGGCCACGGCUGGAGUGUUGCUUGGAGGAAGAACUUGCGAGUAGUAUUUCGUGAGAGCCCUGAUUGCUUGGUCAUCAAUGUGCGUGACAAAACGGGGAGCAGAGUAGAACAGAGUAUCUGAUGACCUGCCAAGCAACCAGAAUGCAUCAGAAUACAUCAUCAGCGCACCAGGCUUUUUUUUUUUUUUGCGGGGCCAGAUACUUACUCGUCGAAGCGGCUGAAGUCCUCGGGCUUGAAAGGGAACUCGUCUGGCCACUCCACAUUCUUCAAUAUCUACAGACCGGCGCCAGUAAUUAGCUUCAGAAGGCGCAAUUUAAACGCAAUGCCUCGCCGCGGGUGCCGGCGUGCCGUGCCGCGUCCUAUGGCACUAGGAUGAAGGCAUGAAGCAAGGAACGUACUGUACAUGUGACGCAUACGAACCUGUUCGACCGGAGAAACCCCCUGCUUUGGCCACGCCGCGGCCACGAACGAGCGGGACGGGACGCCGCCGGAGGCCAUACGUGCGAGCUGGUCGACGAAGGCAACGCCGAGGCCGAGGAAGACGCGCCGCGGCCGCGCGGCCUUCAGUGGCAAGGGAGUGCGGCAGACACGUGGGGCGGCGGCGGCGGCACGGGUGCGAAGCGUUCUAGGGCGAGACCGUUUCAGAGCGACGAGGAGGAGGUCAGGGCGUGUCGCGAGGGUGGCCAUGGAGACGACGGGCAGACACGGCGGCGGUUAGGAGGGGAACGCGACGCCAUGUGUUAUGGUUGGGGGCGCGCGAGAGAGGGCGUCGUGGCGCCACGCGCGUCGCAGAGGAUUGGGAUUUCGUUUUUGCUGCCCUUUGGCUGCUAUCUGCUGCCAUGUGGCCAUGUGGCCAUGUGGGUCCUGUUUUGUCUGCUUGAGCCUUUCCAGUUUCCAAACAUAUUCCCAUGAUCCAAUGUCUUUUCAAAACUCAACGGAACAGAGGGCUUGUGUUUGAGCUCCAAUUCUAUAUGGCAUCUCGCAAUUCCCAUCUUUUUUUUUUUGAAACGGACGCAAUUCCCAUCUUGGUACUAAGGAGAAUGAACAAUAGGGCAGUAGUGGAGGAUGAAGUUCAGAGGAGAAGCAAUGCAUGGGGAUGAAUGGUUGGAAAGAGGAGCACUGAGAAAGGAAUUUCUUUCUCACUGUUCCUCCGGCAUUCCUUUCUCACUGUUCCUUCUCUUUCCAACCACUCUGAAAAAAUCGUUAUAAAAAUGUGGUGCAGGCUCGCUUCGAAAUAGAAACGGCUGAUACGAGAUAAUGGAGAGAAAGAGAGAUCCGUGGACAUAUGAUUGCUGGAAAAUCAAGUUUGUGGGCCCAUCCACUUAGGUUGCUUCAGUGGAGCGUCCCAUUUUUCUCCGAUCGCUCCAUAGAUAAGAACCACUUACUCCCUCUGAAUCAUAAUAAUGUAAGUGUCGUAUUAGUUCUCAGAAACAGAUACCGAAAAAAAAAAUCUCAGAAACAGAGUUGCAUCGAAUACGUGCUCUCGCGAAAUGCACGAACUUGCCAAUUUAAUCAAGAUUGAAACUACGGCGCGUAAUUGCGGAUGCACGUCAUUUGUCUCGGACAUUUGUCGGAUCCUUCAUCGGUGUGCAGGGUACGGCGAGUCAUCGGUGCUCUUUUUAGCCGCUUCUUCGCAGCUUUGCUCCGUCGGCGGCGGUGAAUACAAAUGCAGGUGAAGAAUAUGCCUGCUGAUGUACUAUUGAACUUCUGCGCCCUUUCUCUCUGAACCGUCCGUGGCUACGAGACAAACCACAAGGGGCGACACAAUACCUUUUUUAGUAGCCUUGCUAUUUAUAUAUUGACGUGACAGCUGAUUAGAUCAAAGAUCACCAUUAGUUUAGUAGCCUAAAUGUCUAAUGUGUAGCCGUGAACUCCUUUACUAAAUUUACCGGGGCUACACAUUUUCGACUGUCUUGCGCAAGCUGCGUGUCCGAAUACGCUGCGAAUUCUAGCAAGCAAAAAAAAAAAACGCCGCAUGCAAGACUUCAUGCUCAAUGCAUUAUGCAUGCCCGGCGAGACAAACUUUUGGUGUUGGUUGUAGAGUCAGCUCAAGCUGUCCAGCACAACUGCACAAGCUUGCAUAUAACCAUCAGAAAGAUACCAGUUUCGGCACGGAAUCAUUUAGGUCCGGAGUCCGGACAAGAACUCUACACAAUCGAGCAACAAUGGGAUGUCAGUCAAAACUUUGUGGCUGCUAAUUUAUUUUAAGAUGGUUUUGUGUGACUGAUAUAGUACUCGUAGACCAUCAUUUUCUUUGCACAGCCACAGGUUGUUGUUUUCCUCGGGACACUCACUCUUGCAUUUGUUUAAGCACCAAGAUCGGUCAGCAAAAGACUUUCUUCCAAGAAAUGAGACCAGAAUUGCCAAAAUACUCCUACGAGACAGAUUCUAUGAUAGCAUAAUUGCACUUUGCGUCAUCUAAUCAAGAACAGGUUAAUUAACCGGACACCAUUGCUUUGGGUGCGUUCAUUUUGGUUUUUAGAACCGGUUUUUUCUAAAAACUGCCAUCACCUAACUUAUUGAAGAAACCGCAUCACAAAUUUAACUAGACUUCCGAAAUAGUUUAGGUCAAACUAGUUUGGUAGCUUAAUCAUAUUUAGGUAGCGGUUUCUCCAAGAAGCUAUGGUAGGACAGCUUCUCCCGUGGGCAACUACCUAAAGCUCAGGCCCACCAAGAAAACCUAAUAAAGAGAUCGAUCAUUCAUACGUGUUUGAAACUUGCAAGGAAGAAAGAAGUGGACCAACGUGACUGAUUGGAUGAUCAGCUGGACCACAGCAGGCACCACGAGCUCCAUGAUCCUAACAAUUCUUAUCAUAAUCAUAAGCCGUAGUGGGUAUUUCAUUCAAACGAGGACAUAGAACUUUCAAGGGACGGGGAGGAGAAGCCAAGCAACCCAUCACCCCCAAGAAUGAAUCGAGAUUUUUAUUACUGCAUCAUUUAGAGAACUUUUAUUUUUACACACACAUGAACAGAAGAACACUAAUCACUGAGAGCAGUAGGUAGGUUCCAGCUCUCGGCGUCCAAUCAGCCAAUCGCAAAGAGCCAUGUGGAAUUUACAGCUCACCCAUCUACACAAGAUUCUUUUCUCCUCAUCUUAUUCUUGAUUAUGAACAUUAUCUCGUCCCAUCCCCGCCUCCUGCUCUCCCCACCACCGCCGAGGGUACAGGCUCCAGAGCCGAGGGAUCACACAUCGGACGACCUGUACUUGUACACGUGCAAGCUCGCCUGCGGCGCCACGGCGGCCAGGAAGAUCCUGGCCAUCGCCUCCUGCGCCACCACCGCCCCGUCCUUCUCCACCAGCGCCGCCGCCACCACGUCGCCGGCGGGGCCCCCUCCGGCGGCGACCAUCGCAAUGAUGGCCGUCUGCACAGGUCCCAGUGUCGGGUUGUACGCCGCGGAUUCCAGGCAACCCCCCGCGUGCACUCUCCCUUCACCGUCCGCCACCGCGAAGCCCGACGGGCAUCCGCUGUACGGCGCGUGCGCCGCCCGCGCGGCCGCCUCCGCGGCCUCCCUCAGGCGCGCCUCCAGGCCGCCAGCGGCGAAGCCAUUGGCGACGACGGCUUCGACGGGAUCGCCGAUCGGGUUGUCGUGCGGCUCGAGGACGAGGGGGGCGUCCUUGGGGAGCAGGUCAUGGGGGCCGAAGGGACGAAGCAGGAGCGACGCCACCGUGCGCCACUCUGGCUCGCAGCCGUCGACGGCAUCGGAGGUCACCAGGAUCAGGAUCCCGGCGGCGCCGCGGAUCUCCUGGAGGAACUGCCGGCAGUGGCCGCAGGGCAUGUGGGAGACGGCGAUGGAGCGGAGCGCGGUCUCCCCGGCGGCGGCGGCGUUGGCGAUCAGGAAUUGCUCGGCGUGGACGGACUGGGACAGAGGGAGGCCCCGGAACUCGAGGUUCACCCCGGCGUAGACGCGGCCGCUCUCGCCCAGCCCCACGGCGCCCACGGGGAACCGCGAGAUCGGGGGCCGAGCGCGCCGCAUCGCCGACGGGAUCAGCAGGGGAAGGAGGUCCUCCACCGUGUCCACCCCGGCCGCCGCCGCCGCGCGCUCCGCUUCCUCCGCGCUCAUCACGAACCCUGGCAUCUCGACUGCCUCGGGCUUGGGCGUCAUCUUCUCCUCCCCCAUUGCUCAGAUCUAGCCCUAAACUACGUUAUCAGUGUAUAUAUGAUUUCUACCUCUUUGUAAUCUUAUUUUCGUUGAGUGCUAAGAUGUGUUCCUCAAAGUGUGGAGGAGAGGAGAGCGGGGGAGGGGGAGAACUUGGUGGUGCUGGUGUGUGGGUAUUUAUAAUGGACACUGCGAAUUGCUCCGUUUCUUUUCUCUUCCUUUUCCUAGUCUAAGCUUUGUAAACGAAAACGAUGGGCACCGAUAAUUAUCUGCCCGCUGUAGCAUUUGACGUGUCAUGGUGCAAUCUGACCACUUUGCCACGCUGGACACUGGAAUGAUAUCAUUGCCAAGAGAUGCUUGGAGCUGCAGAUCUGAGACGAACCAUGCCUCAGAUGGUUUAAAUCCAUGUAGCCAGCUCAUGCUCGAUCUUAUAACCCAUCCAUUUGAGAGAGAUGGAAUCUAAAAUGAAAUUUGCAGCGUACAUGUAGUACUGUGCAAACGAACUGGGUUUCAAAACUUUGGUCAAUCUUGACAGAUGAUAUUUAGUCGGGCGAUCCAAACGAUCCCCCAACUUGAUACUAUAGCCUGUACCCUACGAGAAAUGCAAGGCGCUGCGCAGAAGUUUCUUAAGAGGGUCGCUUUCGUGGCACCUCCCUUUUGUGAAUGCGCAGCUCUCGGAAGUACGAGUGGCGAUGAAGAGGUGACGGCGCCCGUAUUAUAAUUGAUAGGGUCGUCCUUCCUUACAGAAUUGUUAUAUUUCGGGAUCAUGCAUAUGGUUGCUGCCUGCCUCCCUCGUAUGCUUCACGUUCGCGAGUAGUAGAAAAUUGUUGCCGUUCAGACUUCAGGCUCCAUGCAGGUCUGAUCGUGACAAAUCGGAUGAUUAUCACGGUGCGAAAACGACGCCGCGCGAGGGACGAGGAAAUCAUUGCACGCCUUUCACGCCUGGCAAAUUCAAGAAAGGAGUUGUGGUUGGAGAGUUAUUAUUGGUUAUCAUUCACCACGAUUUCGACUAAUGGCCGAGUCGAUGAGUGCAACGUCGGUGCAGUUAGUAGGUCAGAGUUAGGACACGGUGUUGAUGGGGGUGCUACAUGUGCAAUGUGUUUGCACUUUGGAGCAAAGGCGAGGAGCCUCGACAGCCGGACAGGGACGCCUCGCUCCCGAGCACGCACAGAGCAAGCCAGUGAGGCGUGCAUCGGACUCGCACCACUGAACACCGAUGGGUUAAAAAGGCGCGGGCAGAGCAAAAGCAAAGCACUCGUCAAAGAGGUGAAUUUGGUGGUACUGUCUGAUUUGCGAGAUUGCUUUGCUCGGUGCGCAAAGGGAGGCAGUUCGAUCAGUCCCCGCCGAACAGACCGAAUUAGCUACGGAGUACAAAAAGAUAGCCGCUGAAUCAAAACAGAAUUAGAAAACACAUGAGUCAAUCAGAUUAUCGAUCAGACCACAAAUGCCAAAGGCAUGUGAUCCUUAGAUGUAGAUCGCUUAUCAGAAUAGAGCAACUUGGCUAUCUUGUACUGAAGCCUGAAGGCGAACGGAACCGGCUCCGAUCCUGUGGCUCCACGAUUCCUCCUCUGCUUUUGCAUGAUAUUUUUGGCUGCUGCGAACAUGGACUCCUGAAUUACCGUGAGCCAGGAACAAGUGCUAAAGCCUAAUGAUCAUGUCAUGUAUGCAUCUCGUCGAUCGAUGUGAAAUUGUGAAUAGAGACCACGGUCGCACGAAGAUUCCUGCUUAUCUGCAUCGCGAAGACCCUUCUCUGGAUAAGUUCUGAACUUCUUAUUCUCCAUCCUAAACUUGAUUCCAACUACCACUCUCUCUUUUCCACAUUAAAUUCUCGAAAUUACUGCAUUCAGAAAGGAUAAGGUUCGCCGUUCAAGCACCACGCCGCGUCCGUCCGUCCGUCCGCCCUUUGGCGUCUCGGCCUCCAUUUGCGGUGUGCGGUGCUGCUAGCUUCUGAUGAAGUGGAUACGUGCCCAUAUGUCACAAGGAAGCGCGCAUAUGUAAGCAGCAGUGCACGUCACGGAGACUUGAAGAGGCUAUCUAAACUCGGGGUCAGGUCAAGCACCCGCACACGGCACACUUGCCCAUCGACGUGACCGGCGCACGUGUAUGUCAUCCACCGGGGAAUUUGUCGUCCGGAUAGACCGUGAUACGACUUCUUUUGCUGGGUCUCUUAAGCCGUUCUUACCUUAGAAUCUGGGUCGAUUCUGACGCUAGGGAUGCUGGUUCGAGUGAUUUACAGGGAGGCAGGCUGGCAGCUACCGUUUGUUGUGUUUCGUUUUGUGCAUCCAGUUCAGUGAUAGUCAAGCAGCCGUGCGACUGCCAGUCGAGGCACGUCCUUGUUCGCGUCACUCGCUGCCCAAAGCAAUAAAAAUAUCGAAGGGUGCCAGUGAUUCAGUGAGUAGCUAGUGCGUGCUAGGAUUGUGAAAGAAUCUGGAGUAAACUUUGUUUACAGGCACGUCACUCAACUAAUCGAUUCAACGAAACCAGUGCACUCUAGACAGGUCCAGAGAUAAUCACAUUUCUUGCCCUGCUCUAAUUCCCUUUGUUUACGCUUUUACAAUGUAAAAACAGCUGGGCAACGGUGGUUAGUUCAACGGUGCCAUGGAAGUGGUAAGUAAAGUAUGAUUCGCAAUUGUCGCAGUAGCAAGACAUGUAUAGUAUUUUGAAUUCUCCCCAAUUCGCUUAUGCUCCUAAAAUGAUGCUACGACAUUACUUCAUCUUGCAACUUGAAGCAGUGAUAUGUCCUCUCUAUGCACUUGAGAGAAUCAUCAGCUGCCCAACCGCAACAAUUAGCUGAUCUUCAGUACUGGAGUAGUACUUCCUACGGUGCUAGUACACUAAACAUUCUGAAUCAGGUUCCGGUACCAACAACACCGACAAGCUACGGCGUACGGAAAUGUAACAGAGGCACGCAAAGGAUCGAACGCUGGAGCACUUCCCCUGAGCCUCACGGCCCGGGGACACAAAACAUUUCCCGCUCCAUUUUAAAAUCCUCGCCUUUUUCACGCCUUAACUUCCAUACCAACACAUAGAACAGAACCCGAAACAAGAGCAAUAUGCCACGACGCCCGGUCCGGGGAACCAUCUGCUUUCUCGCCAUCUCGUUGCUCCUGUGCACAGACGCCGGCCGGCCCUCCUACGCGCUCCAGCUGCUUGGCGACGACGAGGACGCCGACGGCGGCGACGGCUCGACGUCCUUCUCCUUCUCCUCCCCUCAGACGACGCCUGGCGGUCUGGCGUUCGGGUUCUACGACGGGACGUGCCCCGGCGCCGAGGAGACCGUGGCGUCCACCGUGCGGGAGCUCUACGCCGCGGACUCCAACGUCGCCGCCGCGCUCGUCCGCCUCUUCUUCCACGACUGCUUCGUCCACGUACGUAUACGAACGCCGACACCCGUAUGCUCCAUCAAGAUGUCUUUUGCCUGCGCAAACGCGCGCUAGCUCACGUACGCACACGCCAAGACGCCGUGCUCUGUUUUCUUUCUCUGCCUCGGGCGCGCAUUGCAGGGCUGCGACGCCUCGGUGCUCCUGGGCCGCGCCAAUGGCGCCACCAAGUCGGAGAGGGACGCCGCGCCGAACCGCUCGCUGCGAGGCUUCGGCGCCGUGGACAAGAUCAAGGCGAGGCUGGAGAAGGAGUGCCCGGAGACGGUCUCCUGCGCCGACAUCCUGGCCCUCGCCGCGCGGGACAGCCUCGUGCUUGUGGGCGGGCCGAGCUACCCCGUGCUCACCGGCCGCCGGGACAGCGCCGGGAGCUUCUACCGCGACGUGAACGUCCCGCCCCCCAACGCCACCUACGCGAUGACGCUCGAUUCCUUCGCGCGCCACGGCUUCACCGAGCGCGAGACCGUCGCUCUCCUAGGUACGCCCGUUAAAUCUUCGUCUAUCCGUUGGAUCGAGCUCCGUCUAUAUUUUGUGUUUGGUUGAUCCUUCUUAAUUGGCCGGCUUGUAGGAGCACAUAGCAUCGGGAAGGUGCAGUGCCGGUUCUUCAGGGACAGGAUCUACAACUUCGCCGGGACCGGCGAGCCGGACGAUUCCAUCGACAGGGACAUGGUCAGCGAGAUGCGAGCCGUGUGCGGCGGCGACGGCAGGGCGCCGAUGGAGAUGGGGUACUACCGGCAGGGCCGGGAGGUUGGGUUCGGCGCGCACUACUACGCGAAGCUUCUGGCGGGGCGCGGCAUCCUGCGCUCGGACCAGCAGCUCACGGCGGGGAGCACCGUGCGGUGGGUGCGCAUGUACGCGUCGGAGCGCGGCGAGGAGGCUUUCCGCGAGGACUUCGCGCACGCCAUGGUGAAGCUCUCCGCGCUUGCGCCGCUCACUGGGUCGGCCGGCCAGGUCCGCAUUACCUGCUCCAAGCCCGCUGUUUGAUUAUAUGGUCCAGCCCACUUCUCAGUCGGCCGGCCCUAUGGCUUGCAUUGGAUGGUGGGUAUUAAAGAGUCCACAUGAAAAAAAAAACGCAAUCUUGACUAACAGAGGCCUGUUACUAAUGAAAACUCUGGAAAAGGCCCAUGUAUUGAAAAGCCCACUACUUGAUCUAUAGUUCAGGAUUUUUCUUCCUAAUUGUUGUUGCAUAUGAAUGGUGGAAAUGUACUCAUUUUCUUCUUCUUAUGUGACAGUAUUUUAUCAGGCGGUGCUGCAGAGUUAGAGGUUUUUGUUGUUGUCUGCAGGUCUGGUGUUUCUGAUCUUGCAAAAUUUGGGCUUAUGUUCUAGCAGAAUGGUUCAUACUAUUCUGAUGAGUUAGAUAUUUUCUGCUAAAUUUGAGGUCAUUAAUCUUGUAAUCCCCCCUUUAUUUGUACAUUUAGCAUUGCAUUUGCAAGUUUCUUCAAAUUACUUGUAUGUUUAUACCUGACUCUAGUACUUAUUUCAUUACUCCACCUUUUAACUAAACCUCUCAUUUAUGCAUUCACCAUUAGGUGGCUAGACGCAGGUCAUGAGUAAAAAGUAAUAUUCUCUAUUUCUAAUUAGUUGUAUGCAGUUUUUAAAAACAAAAUAAUGCAAAGAGACAAAAAUAUCUCUUCGUCCGUUUUAUAAAGUAUUUCCAUGAAUCUAUUGCACCAUUCAUUUAAUAUUCUUCCCAGGUGCUUAGUCUCAUCUCGCUUCAUUUUUUUUCUUUUUAGAAAGAGCCGAAAAAUCUGAGCACCCACGUCAAGCUUGAAUUUGGAUGGACUGGUUCCACCACAGAGAACCACUUCAGCACCUUCCUUCAUCUAAAUACGAUGAUAACACUAAAUUGUUUGUCUAGAAAAAUUUAAAAACACGAUGAUUAACUAGGCUUUGAAAAUACAAGAAUUCGAAGAAAACUUGAUCGCAAUAAAAAACAAGAGACACGAGACGAAAGAUCAAAGAUGACUGCACAAAGGGACGGACCAUCACGUAUGAAUACAAGCUCAGCAUACCUGCGUACUAUACUCCGUAACUUUUUUUACAGCAGUUAAAUGUACAGGUGCUAUAAAUGUUCUCUUUUCAAUGAACAACAUCUCCGCGUUGACGAGGCUAUCUUUAGCCAACCUCCCCCCGUAUUCAAGCUUCACCGCAGCCUAUCACCAGUGAAUCACCAGAGCUCGCGCGGGCGGCAGUGAACUGACCAAUCACGGACGGGCGAUGGCAAUGGAGUGCGAAACACGGAAUCCAAACCAGGCAUUGAGGCACAGCCCCCGGGUUUCAAAAGUUUGAAGCGAGCCGUUUGUCUCGGUGUCCCGCAGGGAAUCCCAACGCGGAAAAUUUGCCCACGAGCAGCCCCCGCCCGCGCCUCCCACCCGUCGCUUGCCACCUUGCGCCCCCGCGGUUGGCCGCGCCUGCUCGCCCCGUCGGGCGUUGGCUCCCCCACCUGCGCCCGUUCUCAGAGCUCGCCCGCCACUUGGCACCGCUCCCCCCCGUCUCCGAUUCUCCGCCCAUCCGCCAAUAAAUGCCCCACGCGGCUCCAACCCUAGCCGCCGCCGCCGCGUCUUCCUCCAUCUCCCAACACCCCGACCUCCUCCUCCUCCUCCUCCUCCUCCUUCCGCUACACCGACAUGGACGGCGUCAGCAGCAAGCGCCGCUCCCCGUCCGCCUCCUCGACCUCCACCUCCUCCGGUGACGUCACCAGUGCAGCCCGGACGCAGCGGGUGACCCGCAAGCGCAGGUCCGGUGGACGCGGGCCCCGCCGCGGGGGCCUCCGGAGGCCGCCGGCGCACCGACCUGUGAGUGCCUCGGAAUUCACGGUCUCGUCCUGCUUCCGUGCGGUUCGUUGGCUCCUCCGUAUAUACUCUGUGGAGGUGGUGGGCCGUGUUGGCGGGGAGGUGCGGUGGGCUGGAGGCCCAGGGGAAGGGACGUUCGUUCCUUCUCGAUGAUGUUGCCCGAUUUUGAAUUUUGAUUGAUCGCGAGGCGCUUGCUAAUGUUUGUGGGCGAUUUUAUAGCUCCGAUCCACCCGAUCGCUGCUUUGAUUAGCGUGCAUUGUUGCGAGCCUAGGUGUUCUUUCGAAUUCCACGAUCAGGUUUGGACGAUCCACCGUACGUGUGUGUGCUUAGGUGUGAAUGUGAUCAAUUGACUACAUAUGCCCGGGUGUGGUCGUUGUUGCAAUGCUGUAGGUUAUUGUAAGGUAUGAUCAUUGUGUUUUUUUUGUUAGAUUUGAGAUCGUGAUGGCCCGUUAUUGGAUAGGUUUGGUCAAUAACACCCCUGCCAAAAAUGAUAUACUAAUUACACAUGUUUUGGGGCUAAUCUUAGUAAGAUUUCACGAUACAUGUGCCCUCAUGUGGCACACGGAUAGAGUAUGUCAUGUAGAGCUCUUCUUUUUUGCACCGGGUUAUACCGUUUCCAUGACUAGAACGGAUAUAUUGCAGUCUUAAGUGUAAACAAUGUUGCACAUGGUUACAAUAUGUCAUAUGGGCCUCAUCUUGCAGUUUCAUGGAAGAAAGUGUCAUCGGUUGCAAGUCCAUCUUGUAGUGGUUCCACAUUAUGGAUGUAGUUAAUGUGCAAUGUUAUAGUUGUAAUGUGAUGACACCUGGUCUGCUUUUAGGAAAAGAGGCAAGAGCUUUGCCUACUUAUAUAAAAUCAGAGCAGAUACACUCAGUAUUAGUUGCAAGUGCAUGACUUAGUACUUUGCACGCCGCACACAUCACAUCGACGUCGUUGUGUCCAGUGUACAGUUGUUAUAAUUACUUGUAUGGCCCAUGCUCUGGUAAACCAUCUUGCUGGCAGGCCUGGCACACCAUCUGCUAUGAAUGAAACAGUCUUGUUUCUGGUUCUUUGAUCUUUUGACCUAAAUGCAGUUUUCAGGUGCUAUGUUGUGUUUCCAUCUUUGGAUUGAACUUUUUUGUAGUGUGAUAUAUCGCCUACUUAAAGUAGAAGCUAUGAAAAAAUUCUGCCCUGUUCUUAAACAGGACUUCGAGGCAAGACACGAUGUGUCUCGCAUAAUUUCUGUUACUAUUGAUUGAUACAACAGGUGUAAGAGGGCGUGGGUAGUACAAUAGUAGAGUAAUUACUGUUUACUCUUCCUUGAUCAGCUGACUUAUAUAUUUCUGGUUAUUCACAAUGCAAGCAAGAGCGGCGAAAUCAAUUGCAUAUGGAGAUAAGAGCAUUGCAAAAUGAAUGUCGUGUUUCUGUACAUCAGAAUCGUUGGAUACUUGGAUCAUCACCUCUGUUUCCUCCUAUAUAUCUGGCUUGUUUGGAACAAACAGGCAGGAGUUAUAUACAGACAAAGAGGAAAGUAAAAAAAGAUAAACAUCAACACUUGCCAAAAAGGAAAGCAAGAGUUAAAGUCCUAGCCUCCUGGAAGUAGACUCGCUAACACCUAACAGUAGCUCCCAAAAAGAUCAAGAAAACCUGUCCAUAUUCUUAGCUAGCUGGUUUAAGGGUGCUAAACCUUUGUUUGGAAAACUCAGUUAUAUCUGGUUUGGUGAAACUAUUAUAUGUGGUACUUGAUAUUUUUGCUGCUUUCUCUCUAAAUGAAUUCAUUUUUUGAUAACAGGUAAAUGAGAUGGAUUUAAAUAGAGCUGUUUUUGAUCCAGAUGUAAGAUUUGUGCAGAAAAUCUGGAAAAUGUUCCUUUUCUUAUUCUGAGGAAAGAAAAGAGAUUAGUCAAACCAGUUUACAUUUCUCGGAUUAAAAAAAUUUCUCCGUUUUUAUGUAGCAUCAAGUGUUGGCUGGGUUGCAUGUUAUUCUGCAGAAGGAACUCCGAAAUAGUGACAUAAGCCAGCUUGGAAGAAUCAUUCUCCCCAAGGUGAGUCUUAUGCAAACAGCUUUUGCAAACAUCAUUUCACCCAUGUAUUCCAUAUAGACCAUGCUUUCUAGCUGUUAACACUUGUCUCACAAAUUAAUUCCACAGAAGGAGGCAGAAGCUUACCUCCCAAUUCUAACAUCAAAGGAUGGCAAAAGUUUAUGCAUGCAUGAUUUGCUAAAUGCACAACUGUGGACCUUCAAGUACAGGUUAGAUAUAUUGUAAUCUACUCCCUCCGUUCUAUAAUUCUUGUCUCAAAUUUGCCCAAAUAUGGAUGUAUCUAUUCCUAAAAGAUGUCUAGAUACAUGUAAUAUUUCGACAAGAAUUAUGGAACGGAGGGAGUAUUUGGCUUAAAAUGCUUGCUACUGGUGCCAUGUCAUACUUGACUUCUAGUAUCUCUCAGCUAUAAAAUUGGGUAAGUUCCUCCGAUAGAAGAAAACACACAUGGUUAAGUGAUCAUGUAUUUUAAUAUUCAGCCAUGACUAAGUCGAACAAGAAAUGAAUUUUAUCAGAUGAAGUAGGAUUUUGUGAAACCAUUAGAACUACAACAUGUGAAUAAAAAUCCUAUUAUGAAAGGGCCUCAUCCCUGCAUUUAUGUUCAACUUGGUCCAGCAUAUCCACUAAAAUGACACAGAUUAUAAUUUUCCAUGCAGAUACUGGCCGAACAACAAGAGCAGGAUGUAUGUACUUGAGAAUACUGGUGAAGAUCUUUACGUUCAUCUUUUUCCUUCUCUGUUCUCUGUUACAUUUGUAGAUUACUGUUUUUACAUUCCAUUUAUGGAUCAAUGUUCUUACGUUUCUCUUCUUCUUAAACAUCGUAGGGGAUUAUGUCAGAGCCCAUAAUCUUCAAGUAGGAGACUUCAUCAUGAUAUACAAGGAUGACAAUAAUAACAGAUUUGUAAUUAAUUUUCCUUCCUCAUUAUUUAAGCACUUUACUCAUUGAUGGCAUGCAGUUAGUACUUACUUAUUAUGUUAUAUUUUGUGACAUACAAAGGUCAUCCGAGCAAAGAAGGCGGGAGAUGAUCUAGCUGCUACUGUGCCACAAAUCGAUGAGCAUAUCUCUGUCAUGUUGCCAAAACCAGAAGUUGACGACUAUAUGUCUCUCAUUUCACCACAAGCUGAUAUUUCUGCCUUCAUGCCGCAAGCUGAUGAGAACUAUGAGAUAUUUGAUGGUAUUCUAAACUCUCUGCCAGAGAUACCUGCAGCCAAUGUGAGGUACUCUGACUUCUUCAAUCCAUUUGAUGAUUCUAUGGACAUGUCGAAUCCCGGACUGAAUGCCAACAACUCAGUUAACCUGAUGACGCAUUUCCAUGACGAUAAGGCUGGGCUUUCCUUGUUUCCCAACCCAAAAUCUGGGCCUCUCAUAUAAGAUUCAGCCAGAAAACUUCUGGAUCCUAGCAUAACCCUACAUGAGUUCAGAAUCACCAGCCUUGGACGCCAUUGCUGUACAUCCAAAUAAUUGGUGUCCUCAUUUUGUAUGUUGUAUAUGCUUAACUGCUUCUGCUUGUUUAUGAGUAAAAGGUUUCAAUUUUAACUCUUAACUGAAGGUUUCAUCAGAUGAAACGCUGUAGUGUUCAUUUCCGCUCAGAAGUGUUGUUGUGAUGUUUUCCAGCUCAUGAACGUGCCAAUAGAAAAAUGAAAGAUGACAUGUUCCUGGUAACAGAUACAAGCAAAUUUACCGGACGCAUAAUUAAACAACUUUUUUUUUUAAAGAACCACGGUAUGCUGCUGGGAUUCCAACCUCGUGUUGCUGGAUUCCCAGGAAUCUCAACACGGUUGGGCCGUUGGGCUUGAUACUCCUGUCCUGUGUAAGUAGAAACUCGCACCACGUACCGAGUUCUUAUUUCUUUUUUGAUAUCGUAGACAAAUACUUCUCCAGUACGCCAAGGUUAUUGCAACUCUUCCGGUUGAUUGGUUUUCCUAUCUGUCAAUUAGAUAAGCAUAUGAUACUCGUUCAAAUUUAUCCGCCUUUACUUGGCACGUAGUCUUUGCUCGACUACAAAAGAAAAAUGCAGCAUAUAAUCAAUCAACAUUUUAAGCAUUGAACGUUAUGGCUGGAGGCCGAUGGCAAGAAGAAUAGCUGCAGACUGAUUCCUGCAAUCCUGCUGUUUUCAUUAGUUCUGAGUACUUUAGCCGUCUAGUUUUGUCGAAGCCCGGUUGAGGCAUUCCUUCUUGUAAAUUGUAAUGUCUCUUGGAACAUCUCCAACAGCAUACCCAUAUUUCUCUAGAAUAUCUAAAAACUGUUAAUAGGGGUAUUUUGCCCUAAAAACUGGCUCCAAAAGCAUAUCCAUAUUUGUUGGAUACCUAAAUCCUUUUGGGUAGCUACCCAUAUUUUAGCCCCAAUACCCAUAGCUACCCAUAUCCCACGCGCGAAGCAGACCGCCACAAAACUGAAAUUUCAGCCCACUCCUCCUCCCGACCCGUCGGCGCUGGUGCCGAUUCCGGCCACCGGACCUCGCGGCCGCCGUCCCCGCGCUGCCGGCAGCUCCGCCUCGCCACUACGCACCUCCCGGCCGUCAUUCCUCGCCCCGACGAGCAGUAGGGGGUGCUGCCAGAGCUCCAACUGCAGCAGCGACGUCCAUGCGAUGCCGCCGCCAUGCACGAAGAAGAAGGCGUCACGCGCCCUUCGAUCUCCUGCCCCAGCGACGUCCCCCGACGCUUCCCGCCCCCACCAAGGCUUCCCCCGCGACGUUGCACCGCACCUACCGCCGCCCCGCCCUCCUCGUGCCGGUGCCCUCCCCAAGAUCCAGUAGCUCUGCAAGCUCUGUCCAGCCGCCCACCCCCGUCAACGUCGGUGUCUUCCGCCGGCCCGCCCUCCUCGCGCCAGUGCCCUCCCCAAGAUCCAGCAGCUCCGCGAGCUCUGUCCAGCCCCCGCCAUCGCGGCCUAGCUAGCGCCGCCCACCCCCGUCAACGUCGGUGUCCUCCGCCACCCCGCGCUGCCUGCUUGACUUCGAUUUGGAUUGGGAUGCGACAGGGGAGAGAAAUCCGGGAGAGGCAAGAAGAUUUGGAUUGGCUUCUUGCUUCGAUUUGGAUUGGGAUUUGGUGUGAAGGGGGAAGAAGCAGGGUCUGCCCAAUGACAGGUGGGCCCGGUAGAAACUGCCCAGCAUAUGGGUAUCCAAGUUUAGGGAUGCUGCAAAAGAAGGACCAGUUUUGAGUACCUAAAAUUUCUCUCUCCUAUACCCAUAUUGGUUUUCGGUACCCAAAAUAUGUGUAUGCCGUUGGAGAUGCUCCAAGUACUUCGUUUUUGUUAUUUCUUCAGAACUGUAGACUCGUAAGUACUCUUGUAGACUAUCGGUUUCGUUAAUGAAAUCUGGGGCUAUUCUCCUUUAUUCGAAAGCUGUCAAAUCGUUAUAUCGUUAACUAUUGUUGGACUUAAACAUUUAUAGGAAUGACAUUUACAUGCACUGGUCAUGAGUAGAGUACCAAUAACAGAGGAGAUUAGGGGUUCCAUACUUGAAGAUGACAUAGUCGUGAUGUUGGUAUAGCGAGCCGUAGAUGUAGCAGUGGUCGUAGGACGGCGCUGUCCAGAACGUCGACGGCAGUAGCCGUCGGUGUGGCAUCGGCCUUCCUGUGCACUUCAGCACCUCCCUAGAUCGGUAGGGGUCGUUAGGUUGUUGGGUAUGGUGAUAUCCUCGCGUGAACCAGAGAGAACCCGAGCGAGCCGGACUCCCCUUUAUAUAAGGUGUUGCGCGACGAGAGGCCGAAACCAUAAGUUGGUUAGUGCCCCCAUCAGGACGCGAUCAAUGGGAUUAAGUACAUAAACGUUGGUUUAUGGCCCUUCCCUCAUCAAUUCCCUAAAUCAACGCCCCUUGAUUAAAGGCAUGAUUUAUGACAUUUAUUCCGGUUAAACCAAAUCAACCAACAACUAUCUCUCAAAACAAAAUGGACAAGAAUCGUGGACUCCCACUCAGGACAUUGUAGUUCCCAGCCGGACACUUGGAAAAUCGUUUUGGCCCACUUGUAGUUCUGGAGUAGAUAAUUUAGUUUCUCUUUUUUUGAGAAUGAUUCAGUCCCUCGAUCUCUUUUUUUUUGAGAAUGAUUCAAUUCCUCGAUCUUGCCCACAGGCUAAUGGACACGGCAAACGCGAGUAGGCAGAAAGAUCGUGGAGUGUGGCCAGUAGUAGCAGUUGGUGGCAUCCAGAAAUGGACAAACUGACGCACCAGUUGCGUGGCUUCCGGAUGAAGGCCGGCCGAUCAAACACCUUGACAAGGAGGAAGCAGAUUGCCAAGUGUCGAGAUGCUGACUCAACAAAACUGCGUAAUUUAUCAUGAAGAGAAGCACGCAACAUAUCGCACUUUGAAAAUCAUUGGGAACGGGUACCAGAUUUACGCAAGCGCAAGGCAUAACGGCACGAUCCCUUCAUCAUCACAGCUAUCUUUUUUUUCUUUUUUUUCGAGAAUCAUCACAACUAGCUAGUCUCAUGGAGCAGCUAUCUGAUCGAGUGGCCACACAUAUGCUGCACGGAUUCCCUUUCUGGCGUCUAACCGCCCAUAUCACGCGGGGCGGUUAACUUUUUGUGCAAAAUAUCCGGCUGGAGCCCUACUUCCUUCCUUAUGCUCUCUUUCACGUCCAGAUUUCUCUCCUUUCAUCUCUCCCGGCGCUUCUCUUCCUCCCAAGUCCCAACACUUCUUCCUCUUGUUGACCGAGAAAGCGGCGCAGGCGAGCUGGAGCCGGCGAAGCCUCGGUCGUCCGCGGCGGCGACGGUGAGGGAGAGGCCUAGAUCGAGCCGCGGCGAUGACAGCGGAGGCGAGGAGGCGACGGUGGAGAAGAGAUAAGCCCCGAUGACCUAACUUAGGGUUGGGGGGUGUUCGCCGACGCCGGAGAAGACAACCGUACCCGGGCUUAGAGGGAUGGCCGUGGCGGCGGCGGACCGGCGUUGGCGGCGGCUGGAGUAGGCGGGGCGGUGAGGUGUCGCGGUAGAAAAAAAUAAUGUAAAGUUUUGAACUUAGAAAUCGAACAACCUCUAACUAAUACUACAAAUUAUAAUCCAACCAAAUUCUUUUGAAUAUCUUUUAGUGAAAGAGACACCUAUUUAUCUAGCCACCGGGGCAUGCUCGCACUGGAACCGUGCUACUACCGGCUAGGUGGAAAGAGCAUGCUAAAAGAAAUGAGAGGAGAGGACGCAUAUCAUAUCCGUAUGGUAACAAGGCAAUAUUUUGUUGGGAACAAGUGUGCAACGAAAAAACGGCAAAUCACACAUCGCAAGAGCCGGAAAUCAAUAACAGUACGAGCAUCGUAUUAAAAAAACUGUGCAUGAAGGAGCACAUUGCUAGAUCACCGGUGCUACCCUUCUUCUAUGCAGAGAGUCGGGGACGAUGCAAAACUUCAGGAAGGAAGGAUGGAGUGCAGACAGGCACGGACAGGCGUGACGUGACCAACUCGCCAACAGGAAUUUCUAUGCAGGGAGGAGGUCCAGUGGUCCAUGAACCGUACUAGGUGACGCGAUGCCGGAACCUCCCUGGGGCCUGGGGGUCGACCCCGGAGCGACACAUGGCUGAGCCUGAGGACUGAUCAAGGCAAGACCACCGCGGUCCGGUCCGCGGUGGAGUGGGGGGAAGACAGUGCAUGCGCGGAAGAAGUGCCGUGCGCUCGCCGGUCGCCACGCGCGGCACGGUACUGCUCGGAGACUAAAAAAAUCUGUCGUCCAUGAUUAGAAUUCGGAGAAAAGUCUGUUUCAAACCCUGACCUCGUACUCAAAGUCUGAAAAAAACCUUCACUUUCUAAUCCUCGGAAUCUGAACCCUAACCUCUAAAUCCCGGCUAAUCCCCGCGUGCUUUCCUGCUAAUCUUGUUUGCCUAACUCGGGUUGAUGAUGUGGCAGGGAUUAAGGGUUUGGCCCACCUGCCAGACGGCCCACCUAUCAUUUAUAACCCCUCCUUCUCCCCUGCCCUUCUCUUCUCUGAUCUUUCGCCCGGCACUUCACCUGCCUCCCUC